rnacentral:sRNA from 1 species
UGUCCGCCUGUAAGGUGCAACGCCUGGGA